rnacentral:sRNA from 1 species
AACCACAGCGUUCGACAUUCGACCACAGCAUUCGAUCACAACAUUCGACCACAACAUUCGAUCACAACAUUCGGCCACAACAUUCAACCACAGCAUUCGACCACAGAAUUCGACCACAGCAUUCGACCACAACAUUCAACCACAGCAUUCGACCACAGCAUUCGACCACAGCAUUCGACCACAGCAUUCGACACUCGAUCACAACAUUCAACCACAGCAUUCAACCACAGCAUUCGACCUCAGCAUUCAACCACAGCAUUCAACCACAGCAUUCAACCACAGCAUUCGACCACAGCAUUCGACAUUCGAUCACAACAUUCAACCACAGCAUUCAACCACAUCAUUCGACCUCAGCAUUCAACCACAGCAUUCAACCAAAGCAUUC